rnacentral:rRNA from 1 species
GAUAAACGCUGGCGGCGUGCUUCAGGCAUGCAAGUCGAACGGACCUUCGGGUCAGUGGCGGACGGGUGAGUAACACAUAAGCAACCUGCCCAGAAGUGGGGAAUAACCCACCGAAAGGUGAGCUAAUACCGCAUGUGAUGGCUCUUCUCUGGAGGAGUCAUUAAAGGCUUCGGUCGCUUCUGGAGGGGCUUGCGCUCGAUUAGCUAGUUGGUGGGGUAACGGCCUACCAAGGCAACGAUCGAUAGCUGGUCUGAGAGGACGGUCAGCCACACGGGGACUGAGAUACGGCCCCGACUCCUACGGGAGGCAGCAGCUAGGAAUCUUGGGAAUGGGCGAAAGCCUGACCCAGCAACGCCGCGUGGGCGAUGAAGGCCUUAGGGUCGUAAAGCCCUUUUGCGGGGACGAUGAUGACGGUACCCCGCGAAUAAGCCACGGCUAACUACGUGCCAGCAGCCGCGGUAAUACGUAGGUGGCAAGCGUUGUCCGGAUUUACUGGGCGUAAAGGGCGCGCGA